CCUACGGGAGGCAGCAGUGAGGAAUAUUGGUCAAUGGACGAGAGUCUGAACCAGCCAAGUAGCGUGAAGGAUGACUGCCCUAUGGGUUGUAAACUUCUUUUAUAUGGGAAUAAAAUGUUCCACGUGUGGGAUUUUGUAUGUACCCUAUGAAUAAGGAUCGGCUAACUCCGUGCCAGCAGCCGCGGUAAUACGGAGGCUCCGAGCGUUAUCCGGAUUUAUUGGGUUUAAAGGGAGCGUAGGUGGAUUGUUAAGUCAGUUGUGAAAGUUUGCGGCUCAACCGUAAAAUUGCAGUUGAAACUGGCAGUCUUGAGUACAGUAGAGGUGGGCGGAAUUCGUGGAGUAGCGGUGAAAUGCUUAGAUAUCACGAAGAACUCCGAUUGCGAAGGCAGUUCACUGGACUGCAACUGACACUGAGGCUCGAAAGUGUGGGUAUCAAACAGGAUUAGAUACCCUUGUAGUC
rnacentral:rRNA from 1 species